GUAGGUGGCAAGCGUUGUCCGGAAUUAUUGGGCGUAAAGCGCGCGCAGGCGGUUCUUUAAGUCUGAUGUGAAAGCCCACGGCUCAACCGUGGAGGGUCAUUGGAAACUGGAGAACUUGAGUACAGAAGAGGAAAGCGGAAUUCCACGUGUAGCGGUGAAAUGCGUAGAGAUGUGGAGGAACACCAGUGGCGAAGGCGGCUUUCUGGUCUGUAACUGACGCUGAGGCGCGAAAGCGUGGGGAGCAAACAGGGAUUAGAUACCCUGGUAGUCCACGCCGUAAACGAUGAGUGCUAAGUGUUAGGGGGUUUCCCGCCCCUUAGUGCUGCAGCUAACGUAUUAAGCACUCCGCCUGGGGAGUACGGCCGCAAGGCUG
rnacentral:rRNA from 1 species